UUCGUCGUCGAGUCAAAGUGCGCGGAUCGCUCGAGGAGCGAACUCAUACUCCUGCCAAAUUAAAUUAAAUAUUUGUUAAGUGCAAGUUUAGGUGUUAGUUGUUGUUGCCGUAAAGCCAAGUUCGUAAGCAGGUGCAAAGGUGCAAAAGUGAGCUAAUAACAAAACAAGUUCGCCAGUUUCAGUUGGAAAGCAAAGCGAUAAAGAUGGGAAAGUUCGAAUACUCACUGGGUCUCAAUGAGCUCAAAUCAAAGGAGCUGCGUUUGUGGCAGGCUCUGAUCGGUGAGUUCCUGGGCAAUCUGAUCCUCAAUUUCUUUGCCUGCGGUGCGUGCACUCAAAUUGAGGAUGGUACAUUCAAGGCCCUGGCUUUUGGCCUGGCCAUCUUCAUGGCCAUUACGAUUGUGGGCCACUUGAGUGGUGGACAUGUGAACCCUGCUGUUACCGCUGGAAUGCUGAUUGCAGGACGAAUCAGCUUAAUCCGGGCAAUUUUCUAUGUGGUUUUCCAGUGCCUGGGUGCCAUCGCUGGAACUGCAGCUGUCAAGAUCCUUCUUGAUCCUGACUAUCACAAUGGUUUGGGUCACACCACCUUGGCGCAGAAUAUCACGGAGCUGCAGGGCCUGGGAAUCGAGUUCUUCCUGGGACUCCUGCUGGUCCUCGUCGUGUUUGGGGCCUGUGAUCCCCACAAGCCGGACUCCCGCUACACGGCGCCCCUGGCCAUUGGAAUGGCGGUGACCUUGGGUCAUUUGGGCACCAUUCGGUACACUGGGGCCAGCAUGAACCCGGCCCGCACAGUGGGCACUGCCUUUGCCACGGACAUCUGGACUGCGCAUUGGGUGUACUGGGUGGGACCUGUGCUGGGGGGCGUGGCAGCCGCCCUGCUGUACACUCAGGUCCUGGAGGCGAAGCCGGCACCGAAGGUGAACGAGGCAUCCGAAAAGUACCGAACGCACGCCGAUGAACGCGAGGAGCAGAUAUUUGUUUACUAAAGCUCUUACCACCUGCACGCAAAACUAAUCUAAGCCACUGUUGUGAACCGAACCAUUGGUUUAGAAAUUCAGUGAUCCUUUCAACCGAACCCGCCCACAAUUUCGAUCGAUGCGCAAACUGGAGGGUGCUCGCGAUUAUGCUUAGGAUUAGGGAAACUAAAGCGACUCGAAUCUAGAGAUAGAUACAGAGAGAGAAAAAGCCGAGGAGAACAGAUGUCUUCGUUUAAUCCAUUCAUUUCAAUGUCUAUCAUACUUAUGUCGUGCACUUCUUCGUUCGUGUGUAUUUAUGUAUUUAUUCAUGAAAAGUUCAUUUUUAAUAUAACUAAUAUCUAAAUAUGUAAGCUGCCCUAAAAUCCAAUCUACAAAGCAAAAUUACUUGUAUUCUCAUGCGUUCACAAUAAAGUGGAAAACAUUUACUAAAAA